rnacentral:lncRNA from 1 species
UGCAGAUUUCCUCUGCAGAGGCCCGGAGUUACCAGCAAGGUCUGACGCAGCAGAGUGCAGAAACGGCCUCCCUGUCUGUCAAAGUGGCCUCCCGAGGACACCCAGCGAGGCCACCAGAUCAUCACGUGGAGUAUCGGUGGCCUUAUUAAAACAAAAACAACAACUCCACAGCCCGGCGAGCGUGCUGGAUGCUUCCUGCCCUUGGACAAUCAGACUCCAAGUUCUUUAGCUUUUGGACUCUUGGACUUAGACACCAGUGGUUUGCCAGGGGCUCUUGGGCCUUUGGCCACAGACCGAAGCUUGCACUGUUGACUUCCCUACUUUUGAGGUUUUGGGAUUCAGACUGGCUUCCCUGCUCCUCAACUUGCAGAUGGCCUAUUGUUAGACUUCACCUGUGGUCAUGUGAGUAAGUACUUCUUAAUAAACUCUCCUUCAUAUAUACAUCUAUCCUGUUAGUUCUGUUCCUCUAGAGAACCCUGACUAAUACAAAGACCUAUGUAACAAACAUCAUAUGUACAAAGAUCUUAACUAGAAUGUUAUUUUUAACAAUGAACAAUUAGAAAUAAUCUAAAUGCCCAACAAUGAUAUAUGGUUAAAAUACUGUGGAAUAUGUACUCAAUUAGUAUUCCAUAGCUAUUUUACAUAUUAUUAUAUAUGCUGUAGCAAAAUGUAAUGAUUAUGUUUUUGGGGAAAAACAGAUUACAUCACAUAUAUCCUAUAAUAGCAACUCUUUAAUACAGUGUAUAUAUAUGGAGAUAUAUAUAUGGAGAGAGAUAUAUAUAUGGAGAUAUAUAUAUGGAGAGA